rnacentral:rRNA from 1 species
UACGGGGGGGGCAAGCGUUGUUCGGAAUUACUGGGCGUAAAGGGCCAGUAGGCGGCCAACUAAGUCCGACGUGAAAUCCCAAGGCUUAACCUUGGAACUGCGUCGGAUACUGGAUGGCUUGAAUUCGGGAGAGGGAUGCAGAAUUCCAGGUGUAGCGGUGAAAUGCGUAGAGAUCCGGAGGAACACCGACGGCGUAGGCAGCGCCCUGGACGACACCUGACGCUGAGGCACGAAAGCUGGGGGAGCGAACAGG